UACGUAGGGGGCAAGCGUUGUCCGGACUCAUUGGGCGUAAAGAGCGUGUAGGCGGCCAGAUAAGUCCGCUGUGAAAUCUCGAGGCUCAACUUCGAGCUGUCGGUGGAAACUGUCUGGCUAGAGUCCGGAAGAGGAGAAUGGAAUUCCUGGUGUAGCGGUGAAAUGCGCAGAUAUCAGGAAGAACACCCGUGGCGAAGGCGGUUCUCUGGGACGGUACUGACGCUGAGACGCGAAAGCGUGGGGAGCGAACAGG
rnacentral:rRNA from 1 species